GAAGCAGAGAACCUUUUAAAAUGGCGCCUCUGCUUUCAAAUUAAAAUACCCAUCCAAUUUUGCUACGCAUCCAGCAACAGUGUUGAUACAAGUUGAACCUUGAAACCCUAGAAAUUUUUGAGAGAGACAGAGUGUUUGUGAGAGAGAGAAGAGGAUGAUUUUUAGAACUCCACCGCCGAAGAGACCUAGAGACGAUGCCAAAGCCAUCGAGAGCUCGCCGGUCGGUUCUGAUCGCCGGCUUGUUAUUUACGAAGACCCUGUGGUUCAAUUGCCUGAAUCCUCUCAUGAACCUCAACCGUCUGAUCACAUGCUCUGCACCUACCAAUGCCGCCAAAUGGUUAAAUCAGAUUUUCUGGAUGCCUUGAGCAAUGCGGAGAAGCAAGUUUGUGAUUAUAAAUCUAAAUUGGAGACUUUAAAUGAGAACUUCUGCAAAGCUGAAGCAGAAAGGAAGAAAUUUCGAGAUCAAUUCCUAUAUGCUGAACAAGAACUUGCUGCUGCCAAAGGACGUGAACAGGCACUGCAACAGCAACUUUUAAUGGAGAUCAAUGAUUCCCAGGAGAGGUUGAAGAAACAAUUAGAAUUGUGCAGUAAACUUGAGAUAAAGCUGGAAAAUGAGAGAAACCUUCGGAAAAAAGCUGAAUCCUCAGCAACUUCUGCAGAAGAGAAAGCAAGUGUUUUGGAGGGAAAGCUUUCCCAUCUUUCUGAAAGCAUAGACAGAGAGAAAAAGUGCCUCAAUAAUGAGCUUGCACAGCUGCGAGGAGAUUCAGAACUUACUGUUUCCAGGAUAACUGCAGAUCUUGAAAGAAUGGAAUUCAGAGCUAAAAAUGCUGGGAAGGAAUCAGAGCUACUGAAGGAGCAGCUAGAAGAUCUAAAAUUGCAACUAAGUGAGUGCUUUCACCAGAAGAGUGAACUAGAGAAGAAAUUAUCGAGUUUAACGAUUCAAGGAGUUGCUUCUACGGAGAGCAAUAUUUUGGUUAAACAUCUCCAAGAAGAGCUUAGGAAUUACGAGUCUGAAGUGAGAGAAGCAAGAAAAUUGAAAUCGUCUUAUGAGAACAUUGAGUUAUUAAAGGAGAAAUUAUUGGAAGAAAAGAGCCGCAAAGAAACGGCAGAGUCAGAGUUAUCCAAGUUACGAGAGUGCGAGCUAAAUAUGAGGAAGUUGGAGGACGAGUUGUCUUCUUGGAAGUUGAUGAUAAAAGACAUCCCUGAUGUGUCAUGCUGUGACGAUAUACCUCUUAAGUUUUCAGCUUUACAGAAAGAGGUGAUUGAUAACAUGAUUAAGGUGGGUGAGGCAAAUGCGCGAUUGAAACAAAUGGAGGUGGCUCUGGAUGCUGCCCAACUUGGCAAACAAAAUGCUGAAACUGAGACUGCAUUGGCUAAAGAGAAGGCAGAAGGCUUGAAAUUGGAGGUCAAUCAGAUUGAAUUGAUGCUUUCUGCGGUUACUGAAGAGAGAGAUAGGUUGAAAAAUAUUGUUGAUGAAUUGAGGAAGUCAAAGAAUGAACAAGCAGGGGAUGGAGCAGCUUCUGGAAGUCUUCUUCAGGAACUUGAAUCAUCUCUUAUGAAGAGGGAUUGUUUAAUUAAAGAAUUGGAGCGUAAUUUACAUGAAAAAAAAGAAGUUAAUAAUCGACAACUUGAUGAAAUAAAGUUGCUCAAUGACAGGCUGAAUAAUGAAGCUAGGAGAAUCAAAUCGCUGGAAAGGGAGAGUGACCGGCUUCGUUCAGAGAUUUCUCUAUUGGAGUCCAAGCUAGGUCAUGGUGACUAUUCUGCCGCAAACACAAAAGUAUUGAGAAUGGUGAAUACUCUUGCAGUUGAUAAUGAUGCCAAACAAACUAUAGAGGCUUUGCGUACUGAGUUGCAGAAGACAAAGGAGAAGUUACAAGCUGUUGAAGAAUUAAAGAGUCAGUCAGGCGAUGCUGGAAAGCUGGUGGAUUCCUAUAUAUCUGGGAAAAUGACACAGUUAAAAGAACAAAUUGCAACUCUUGAAAAACGUGAAGAAAGAUACAAGACUGUUUUUGCUGAUAGAAUUUCAGUGUUUAGGAGGGCAUGUUGCGAAUUGUUUGGUUACAAGAUUGUAAUGGAUGAACACCAGCGGUCGAAUGGAAUUCCGGUUACUCAUUUUACCCUUCAGUCUAUCUAUGCGCAAAAUGAUGAUGAGAAGCUUGAAUUUGAAUAUGAAUCAGGAAAUACAAACAUUUUGGCGAAUGCUUACACCUCUCAGUCUGAGAUAUCUCGUCAGGUAUGUAGCAAAACCUUUUCUAAGAAUGCGUGUUUAUGGACUCACAUCCAAAGGUGCACAAACACAGUUUGUGUGCAUAUACUUGUGAAUUACUGAUCUCAUAUGUUUUUCGAGAUGGCUGUCUAUUGGAUUUAUACAGACAUUUCUCGAGGUUAAAAUGGGUCUCUCCAAUCAUGUCAAAUAAUGUUCAAGAUUAUCAAUUUGGUUCUUUCAUAAAACUUGAAAUGAGUUCCAAUUUGAUUCCUUGGCCAUGCUUGUGAAGGGAUUCUUUUUUUGAAGCAGCUGGUUUGGAUUAUCUAUUUUGUGUUAGUACUUAAAAUUCUUCAAGUAAGGUGAUAGGUCAUCUGAAUUGCUGGCCUGUAUUGGGGCGAAUGCUACUCAUCCUAAGCCUGCCUUUUGCAGGUUGAUAUAUUUAUUCAUAAGAUGAAUUCUAUCCCAGCGUUCACAGCCAACUUGACAGUGGAGUCUUUCAACAGAAGAACUCUAUCUUGAUACAAAUCAAAAUACCAAGAUUUCCCCAGAUGCUCCUGAUUUCUCGUAUGUUGAAAAUCAGUGUGUUCUGUAUCUUAAUUAUUUUAUUUCCCAGUUGAUUAUGCUGUUAACUUAGCAUGAUCUUUUUAAUUAUACAGCUGCGAAAGAGAGAUUUGAUGCUUUUGUAUUAUUAGCAUGUGAAAUGAACUGCCAAAAAUAUGUAAUAUGUUGGUUUUUGGCACUUCAAGAUUUGAUGGUGAUUCUCUGUUCCGCAUAUGCCCCUGGAUGCUGUUGAUAUGCCAACUAUUUAGAACCUAAUAAUUCUCUCUGGCACUCCUUUUGACUGGAGUCUAGUUCAAAUAAUUCAACUUUUGGUGACCUUCCAACCUUUUGAGUCCUCAUCAGAAUUUAAGCUUAUUUGUGUCAAAUUAUGCUUGUACCCUUUGUGAUGGAGAAAGGUGAAGAAAAAGUGAGCGUGGGGAAAAAGUUAAGAAAUUGAGGUGCAUUACUGUUAACUGUCCAAACUUUACGGUAUUGAUCCAUUUCCUUUGGUCUUCCCAUGGCUUUUAAUCGCAAUUAUGGAGUAUACAUCCCAUGAACGGCUAUGCCUCAAUAAUACAAAACUACCACCACCAUCAUUCUUCACUUGUGUCACUUCAACUAAGACCAUCUUUCCUAGCUUGGGAUGAUUUCUGUUUUGAAGUAUACGAGUAAUUGAACGCUAAGCUGUGCAUAUUUCCCCAUCUUUUACCUCUUUUAUGUUCUAGCUCAGUAUUCGAACUUUGGUCAAUAAUAUGAGCACUUGCCUUGUCCUGGGGAUUGAUGUAUUCUGUUUUUCACUGUGCUUGGCUAAUAAAUAUGAAAUGCUUGGGUUUUGUUGUCAUUUUUAAGUCCAAUUAUGAUGUAUUAGGUACAUUUUCGAAUUAUGCAUUUUCAUUUUCAUUUUCAUCCAAGUCUCCAAAUUUCAAAUCCUUAUAUUAUUUAAAUGUAACAUCAGAAUUUUUCUUUUCAGCUAUAGCAUUAUCGUCUGCUUUUGACAAAGAAAAUUUGAUGCUUUGGAGGCAUCCAUGCUACAUUGAGUGAGAACAGUUGGCAGGCAAGGAGUUUGUUAGUGCAUGAGUAAAGAAAGAUGGGAUGAUGGGAAAGAAUAGAUGGGCUUGAAAAGAUGGUUAAAAAAGCAUAUUAUAGUGCCGCUUUCUUCGCAGUGGUGAUGGGUUUUUGAGCGCUCUAAAGAUUUAAUCCCUAAUUUUUGACUAAGUUGAAAGCUCUCAACUUUCAGUGGCUACUAGCUAAUGAAGGAUGUGCUUGUGCUGACUUUGCUAUUGAUGAUGAUGGUCAUUGCUAAUUUGUUGAGUGGUUAUGUAAGGUUUUGGCAAUGGUGAUAAUCUCUUUUAAGAAAUUUGAGAAAACCCUAAUGUCACUAUCAAAUGUCAAUCACUUGAAUGCUAUGAAUCUGAUGAUCCUGUUUUCUAUCUUUUGCUUUUUGGAAAAUUUGAAAUUGCUGGCCUGUUAAUUAAUUUAAGAGGUUGAGCUGCU
rnacentral:misc_RNA from 1 species